GACGAACGCUGGCGGCGUGCUUAACACAUGCAAGUCGAACGGAAAGGCCCUGCUUUUGUGGGGUGCUCGAGUGGCGAACGGGUGAGUAACACGUGAGUAACCUGCCCUUGACUUUGGGAUAACUUCAGGAAACUGGGGCUAAUACCGGAUAGGAGCUCCUGCUGCAUGGUGGGGGUUGGAAAGUUUCGGCGGUUGGGGAUGGACUCGCGGCUUAUCAGCUUGUUGGUGGGGUAGUGGCUUACCAAGGCUUUGACGGGUAGCCGGCCUGAGAGGGUGACCGGCCACAUUGGGACUGAGAUACGGCCCAGACUCCUACGGGAGGCAGCAGUGGGGAAUAUUGCACAAUGGGCGGAAGCCUGAUGCAGCAACGCCGCGUGCGGGAUGACGGCCUUCGGGUUGUAAACCGCUUUCGCCUGUGACGAAGCGUGAGUGACGGUAAUGGGUAAAGAAGCACCGGCUAACUACGUGCCAGCAGCCGCGGUGAUACGUAGGGUGCGAGCGUUGUCCGGAUUUAUUGGGCGUAAAGGGCUCGUAGGUGGUUGAUCGCGUCGGAAGUGUAAUCUUGGGGCUUAACCCUGAGCGUGCUUUCGAUACGGGUUGACUUGAGGAGGGUAGGGGAGAAUGGAAUUCCUGGUGGGGCGGUGGAAUGCGCAGAUAUCAGGAGGAACACCAGUGGCGAAGGCGGUUCUCUGGGCCUUUCCUGACGCUGAGGAGCGAAAGCGUGGGGAGCGAACAGGCUUAGAUACCCUGGUAGUCCACGCUGUAAACGGUGGGUACUAGGUGUGGGGUCCAUUCCACGGGUUCCGUGCCGUAGCUAACGCUUUAAGUACCCCGCCUGGGGAGUACGGCCGCAAGGCUAAAACUCAAAGGAAUUGACGGGGCCCCCCACAAGCGGCGGAGCAUGCGGAUUAAUUCGAUGCAACGCGUAGAACCUUACCUGGGUUUGACAUGGAUCGGGAGUGCUCAGAGAUGGGUGUGCCUCUUUUGGGGUCGGUUCACAGGUGGUGCAUGGCUGUCGUCAGCUCGUGUCGUGAGAUGUUGGGUUAAGUCCCGCAACGAGCGCAACCCUUGUUCACUGUUGCCAGCACGUUAUGGUGGGGACUCAGUGGAGACCGCCGGGGUCAACUCGGAGGAAGGUGGGGAUGACGUCAAGUCAUCAUGCCCCUUAUGUCCAGGGCUUCACGCAUGCUACAAUGGCUGGUACAGAGAGUGGCGAGCCUGUGAGGGUGAGCGAAUCUCGGAAAGCCGGCCUCAGUUCGGAUUGGGGUCUGCAACUCGACCUCAUGAAGUCGGAGUCGCUAGUAAUCGCAGAUCAGCAACGCUGCGGUGAAUACGUUCCCGGG
rnacentral:rRNA from 1 species